rnacentral:misc_RNA from 1 species
GGAAGGAUCAUUACCGAGUCGUCGACAUGGGUUGUUGCUGGUCCUCGAAUGGGGGCAUGUGCACGCUCUGUUCACACAUCCACUCACACCUGUGCACCCUCUGUAGUUCUGCGGUUUGGGGGAGGCGUCGUCUCCCUCCUGUGGUUCUAUGUCUUUACACACACACCGUAGCGAAGUCUUAUGGAAUGUGCGCCGCGUUUAACGCAAUACAAUACAACUUUCAGCAACGGAUCUCUUGGCUCUCGCAUCGAUGAAGAACGCAGCGAAAUGCGAUAAGUAAUGUGAAUUGCAGAAUUCAGUGAAUCAUCGAAUCUUUGAACGCACCUUGCGCCCCUUGGCUAUUCCGAGGGGCAUGCCUGUUUGAGUAUCAUGAACACCUCAACUCUCACGGUUUGCCGUGAUGAGCUUGGACUUGGGGGUUUUGCUGGCCCUGUGGUCGGCUCCUCUCAAACGAAUCAGCUUGCCAGUGUUUCGGUGGCGUCACAGGUGUGAUAACUAUCUACGCUUGUCGUCGUCCGCUGGGUAACCUUCAGCAAUGGAGGUUUGCUGGAGCUCAUAAACGUCUCCCCUCAGUGAAGACAGCUUCUUGAACGUUCGAUCUCAAAUCAGGUAGGACUACCCGCUGAACUUAAGCAUAUCAAUAAGCGGAGGAAAAGAAACUAACAAGGAUUCCCCUAGUA